rnacentral:rRNA from 1 species
AGAGUUUGAUCCUGGCUCAGGAUGAACGCUAGCUACAGGCUUAACACAUGCAAGUCGAGGGGCAGCAUGAACUUAGCUUGCUAAGUUUGAUGGCGACCGGCGCACGGGUGAGUAACACGUAUCCAACCUGCCGAUGACUCGGGGAUAGCCUUUCGAAAGAAAGAUUAAUACCCGAUGGCAUAGUUCUUCCGCAUGGUGGAACUAUUAAAGAAUUUCGGUCAUCGAUGGGGAUGCGUUCCAUUAGGUUGUUGGCGGGGUAACGGCCCACCAAGCCUUCGAUGGAUAGGGGUUCUGAGAGGAAGGUCCCCCACAUUGGAACUGAGACACGGUCCAAACUCCUACGGGAGGCAGCAGUGAGGAAUAUUGGUCAAUGGACGAGAGUCUGAACCAGCCAAGUAGCGUGAAGGAUGACUGCCCUAUGGGUUGUAAACUUCUUUUAUACGGGAAUAAAGUGAGGCACGUGUGCCUUUUUGUAUGUACCGUAUGAAUAAGGAUCGGCUAACUCCGUGCCAGCAGCCGCGGUAAUACGGAGGAUCCGAGCGUUAUCCGGAUUUAUUGGGUUUAAAGGGAGCGUAGGCGGACGCUUAAGUCAGUUGUGAAAGUUUGCGGCUCAACCGUAAAAUUGCAGUUGAUACUGGGUGUCUUGAGUACAGUAGAGGCAGGCGGAAUUCGUGGUGUAGCGGUGAAAUGCUUAGAUAUCACGAAGAACUCCGAUUGCGAAGGCAGCUCACUGGAGUGUAACUGACGCUGAUGCUCGAAAGUGUGGGUAUCAAACAGGAUUAGAUACCCUGGUAGUCCACACAGUAAACGAUGAAUACUCGCUGUUUGCGAUAUACAGUAAGCGGCCAAGCGAAAGCGUUAAGUAUUCCACCUGGGGAGUACGCCGGCAACGGUGAAACU